rnacentral:lncRNA from 10 species
GAACGUUCCCUCCUGUCCUGUCUUCUGCCCCUUCCUCCUCUCAAAGCUGAGUGGGAAGGGGCUUCACACAAAGAUCAGGAAAGCUUGACGUAUGGCUAGUGAACUUUAGGAGGGAGAGGUACUGGGAUGUGGCUCAACCAGAGAAAAUCCCAGGCCCAUAGCUACAUGAAGACUGGUCUCUGUCCUCAAGUUGCUUACAGUUUGCAGGUGCUACACCAAUGGGUAUCAUUUGUAUCUCACAUAGGGCCUUCGUGGCCUUCCUCCUGAGGCUUCCUGACUUCCCACAGCUGCCCUGCUUUGUUCCCCGAGCUGUUAAAAGGACUCAUUUCUUCAAAAAUGCUUUGCAGAAUCUAUCAAAGCAAGGAACGUUUCACCCUGCAGGACAACGAGCCAGAGCCUUGCAUACCAGGGGCAGGCAUUAGACCACACCCGCUUUGACUGUUAGACUCAUCUGCAGUGCUUGUGCCACUAGUGAGAUGCGCCUAAUGGGGGAGUUCAUCCCCCACCUCACCCUGGUGUGUGCCAUUCAGAGCCAGCUCCCUUUGCUAUUGAAGAACUUAUUUCCCUACAUGUCAGGACUUCUGCUGGCUGAUGGCCCCCAGCUGUGAGCUCUUUCAGGCAUCACCUUUGGCUGCAAAAGGCUCCCUCUCCUGAAGUUACUACCUGCAUCCCUGGAGGCAGACUUCAUCUCAUGUCUUCAUCCAAAGUUUGAACAAAUUGGCUAAGAAGGUGCUAGACAUGUAAAGGGACUAUUUUUUUUCUUAAUUCAAAUGUAGGAGGAGUAUGGAUCUCCAGGAACCAGAAGAGCUGCAUACAUAUGCCCAACAAUUCAGCGACAGCACCAUCAGCCCAGAUGGGGGUUGUGAGCAAAGUCCGAGAUGGUCAGAAGGAAACGAGAACCUGGGAGGUGGCGAGUGUCCACUGCUCUAGUCUCAGGACAGCCUGCUCUGUUAAAGCACCUGGUCCUUCUUCCUGAAGACUUCAGUCCCACCUUGCAUUAUGUUUUGUUCUGUGUAUGUGCGUGUCUAUCUCUCCUGCUAACUGCUGAGCUUGCUAAGGAAAGGAACCUUGUUUUAUGAAAUAAAUGAUAUUUAUGAGCUAGUGAAAAGAAAGAAAAAAAGACUAAGCCAGGAAACCUCUUGAAGGCCCAGAGAAGUAGGCACGUAUAUAAGGUUGAAGUUUGAGUUAGAUAGU